rnacentral:tRNA from 3 species
GCCGAAGUGGUGAAACUGGCAGACGCACUGGACUCAAAAUCCAGCGGUAGCGAUACCGUACCGGUUCGAUUCCGGUCUUCGGCACCA